CCGGCCCUGAUUCCUGCAGCCAUCCCCCACCCCCUACCCCGGCCCCGCCCCCGCCCCGCUCCGGCCCCUCCAGGCCGGCGGAAUACGUUAAGCGCCCUCCACUCAGCGGCAGGUCCCAGAUGCUCAACGCGCACCUCACACGAAGUGGGGUUCCUCGUGGGACGUUUCCAGCUGUUAUGUGUGUAUUUGAAUAAGUAUAAAAUGCGUCCCCGCGUAACUACCACUCAAGGAAACCUUCAGAAAAGCUGCAAGAAAAGUACAAUGAACAUCCAUAUAGGGGGCUUCCCUGGUGGCGCAGUGGUUAAGAAUCCGCCUGCCAAUGCAGGGGACACGGGUUUGAGCCCUGGCCCGGGAAGAUCCCACAUGCCACUAAGGAGCAACUAAGCUCAUGUGCCACAACUACUGAGCCUGUGCUCUAGAGCCUGCGAGCCGCAACUACUGAAGCCGGUACACCUAGAGCCUAUGCUCCGCAGCAAGAGAAGCCACUGCAAUGGGAAGCCCACACACCCCAACGAAGAGUAGCCCCCGCUCACCACAACUAGAGAACGCCCGCAUGCAGCAACGAAGGCCCAACACAGCCAAAAAUAAAAAUAAAAUAAAUAAAUUUAUUUUUUAAAAAUCCA